AUUGAACGCUGGCGGCAGGCCUAACACAUGCAAGUCGAGCGGAGCGGCGGACGGGUGCGUAAUGCCUAGGAAUCUGCCUGGUAGUGGGGGAUAACGUCCGGAAACGGGAGCUAAUACUGCAUACUAUCACAUGAGCCUAGGUCGGAUUAGCUGGUUGGUGGGGUAAAGGUCUCCCAAGGCGACGAUCCGUAACUGGGCUGAGAGGAUGAUCAGUCACACUGGAACUGAGACACGGUCCAGACUCCUACGUGAGGCAGCAGUGGGGAAUAGUGGACAAUGGGCGAAAGCCUGAUCCAGCCAUGCCGCGUGUGUGAAGAAGGUCUUCGGAUUGUAAAGCACUUUAAGUUGGGAGGCGUUACCAACAGAAUAAGCACCGGCUAACUCCGUGCCAGCAGCCGCGGUAAUUC
rnacentral:rRNA from 1 species